rnacentral:rRNA from 1 species
CUGAUCCAGCAAUGCCGCGUGUGUGAAGAAGGCCUUCGGGUUGUAAAGCACUUUUGUCCGGAAAGAAAACCUUGGCCCUAAUACGGUGGGGGGAUGACGGUACCGGAAGAAUAAGCACCGGCUAACUACGUGCCAGCAGCCGCGGUAAUACGUAGGGUGCAAGCGUUAAUCGGAAUUACUGGGCGUAAAGCGUGCGCAGGCGGUUUGCUAAGACCGAUGUGAAAUCCCCGGGCUCAACCUGGGAACUGCAUUGGUGACUGGCAGGCUAGAGUAUGGCAGAAGGGGGUAGAAUUCCACGUGUAGCAGUGAAAUGCGUAGAGAUGUGGAGGAAUACCGAUGGCGAAGGCAGCCCCCUGGGCCAAUACUGACGCUCAUGCACGAAAGCGUGGGGAGCAAACAGGAUUAGAUACCCUGGUAGUCCACGCCCUAAACGAUGUCAACUAGUUGUUGGGGAUUCAUUUCCUUAGUAACGUAGCUUACGCGUGAAGUUGACCGCCUGGGGAGUACGGUCGCAAGAUUAAAACUCAAAGGAAUUGACGGGGACCCGCACAAGCGGUGGAUGAUGUGGAUUAAUUCGAUGCAACGCGAAAAACCUUACCUACCCUUGACAUGGUCGGAA